rnacentral:rRNA from 1 species
UACGUAGGGGCCUAGCGUUGUCCGGAAUCAUUGGGCGUAAAGCGCGCGUAGGCGGCCAGAUAAGUCCGGUGUGAAAGUCACAGGCUCAACCUGUGAAUGCCGCUGGAAACUGUCUGGCUUGAGUCCGGAAGGGGCGAGUGGAAUUCCUGGUGUAGCGGUGAAAUGCGCAGAUAUCAGGAGGAACACCAAUUGCGAAGGCAGCUCGCUGGGACGUUACUGACGCUGAGACGCGAAAGCGUGGGGAGCAAACAGG